GCGACCGACCCGCUUUUAGUCGAGUGAAACUGCGUGAUUUGUAGCUGCUUUUUGUAGUUGCCGUGAUGCUCUUGUUGAUUCGCUAAUCCGAGGUUGUUAAUUAGCGUGGGGUUUGAAUUUGAGUGUUUUUCUGAUUAUUCCGUCGUGUCUUAGUCUCUUGGCAUAAAUUACGACAUGGAGAGACGAGGGAAACUUAAAGUGAGUCUAGGAGUUGGUCUUGCUGACACUUAACAGUUUCGCGCGACUGGACUGGGCGUCUCAUGCUACCAAGCAAUCCUUGAAGCACUCCACCUUAAUAUCAUGAAAAUUAUUUCACCAAGGUAUUAAAACUUCAAAGUUCCGCAUUAGGAAUACUUUGGAACGACUGGAAUGAGGAAUCAAUAAUUACAAAACUGGAAUCAAUGAUGUCUAAAACACGAACGGAGAGACUAGAAUAAGAAAAACCCUAGUGUACUAAACUGGAAUCACUGAAGUUGAACUGGAAUCACUGAAAUAUGAACACGUAUUCCAGACUUGAAGAGACUGGAAUAAAGAAUCUGUAGAUUCCUGAACUGGAAUCAUUCUAGUAUAAAGGCCCCUGACACUUGAAGAUGUAAUUAGCAGUUAACUCUGGUAAGGUUAUGGUAACUCUAAAGCUGGAAUUUUAUUUUAAAAAACCUGGAAUUACAUAAACCUGGAUUUAUAUUUAACCUAAUUUUAUUCAAAACCCGGGACUUUUAUUGAACCCAAUUGUAUUAAACCUGGUGUUGUUCAAUUUUCCCUAGAGAACCGAGACUUAUUCAGAUAUUAGGUAAUUUAGUUUGUAACUUUCUGUGGGUGACUUAGUUGUGGUAAGUGUUCAGUCAUAAAUUUGCGAAUGGGAGUCUGGGAAUUUGUUGGUGAAUUCAUUGUUGAUACUCUGGAUUCCAGUGCUUGGCUUGAAGCCUAAAUUAUAUAUAUUCCAUUCCAUUCCAUUCUUGAUACUGAAAAUAAUUUUCCCGAAUGUUUUAAUCCUCAUAAAUGCAGUUUAGCACCUAUUUAUUUGAACAAGCUCUUAGGCCCCGUCCACACGAUCGAGCUUUGGUCGACGAACUUUGUCCGAUGUGACGUCAGAAGCGGAUAUACAGCG